rnacentral:rRNA from 1 species
ACAAGUCCCUUGGAACAGGGCGUCAUAGAGGGUGAGAAUCCCGUCCUUGACAUGGACCCCCGGUGCUUUGUGAUACCACUUUCAACGAGUCGAGUUGUUUGGGAAUGCAGCUCAAAAUGGGUGGUGAAUUCCAUCUAAAGCUAAAUAUUGGCGAGAGACCGAUAGCGAACAAGUACCGUGAGGGAAAGAUGAAAAGCACUUUGGAAAGAGAGUUAAACAGUACGUGAAAUUGUUGAAAGGGAAACGAUUGAAGUCAGUCAUGCUCUUUGGUAUUUAUAUCAUUGAGUGGGGUCAACAUCAGUUUUGAGCGAUGGAUAAAGGCACUAGGAAGGUAGCACUCUCGGGUGAACUUAUAGCCUAGCGUCAUAUACAUUGUUUGGGACUGAGGAACGCAGCAUGCCUUUAUGGCCGGGAUUCGUCCACGUACA